GACGAACGCUGGCGGCGUGCCUAAUACAUGCAAGUCGAACGCUUCUUUCCUCCCGAGUGCUUGCACUCGAUUGGAAAGAGGAGUGGCGGACGGGCGAGUAACACGUGGGUAACCUACCCAUAAGAGGGGGAUAACACUUGGAAACAGGUGCUAAUACCGCAUAACAGUUUAUGCCGCAUGGCAUACGAGUGAAAGGCGCUUUCGGGUGUCUCUGAUGGAUGGACCCGCGGUGCAUUAGCUAGUUGGUGAGGUAACGGCUCACCAAGGCAACGAUGCAUAGCCGACCUGAGAGGGUGAUCGGCCACACUGGGACUGAGACACGGCCCAGACUCCUACGGGAGGCAGCAGUAGGGAAUCUUCGGCAAUGGACGAAAGUCUGACCGAGCAACGCCGCGUGAGUGAAGAAGGUUUUCGGAUCGUAAAACUCUGUUGUUAGAGAAGAACAAGGACGUUAGUAACUGAACGUCCCCUGACGGUAUCUAACCAGAAAGCCACGGCUAACUACGUGCCAGCCGCCGCAGUAA
rnacentral:rRNA from 1 species